rnacentral:tRNA from 1 species
GGGGAUGUAGUUCAGUGGUAGAGUGUUUGCCUAGCAUGUACAAGGUCCUGGGUUUAAUCCCCAGCACCACAA